rnacentral:rRNA from 1 species
GCUUGUCUCAAAGAUUAAGCCAUGCAUGUCUAAGUAUAAAUGGUAUACAGUGAAACUGCGAAUGGCUCAUUAAAACAGUUAUAGUUUAUUUGGUAUUCGAAUUUACAUGGAUAACCGUAGUAAUUCUAGAGCUAAUACAUGCACCAAGCGCGCUUUUACGAGCGCGUGUAUUUAUUAGAUACAAUCAACCCUUCGGGUUUUGAUGAGUCAUAAUAACUGAACUAAGCGCAUGCUUUGGCGGCGCUGUUUCAUUCAAGUUUCUGCCCUAUCAGCUUUCGAUGGUAGGGUAUUGGCCUACCAUGGCGUUCACGGGUAACGGAGAAUUAGGGUUCGAUUCCGGAGAGGGAGCCUGAGAGAUGGCUACCACAUCCAAGGAAGGCAGCAGG